rnacentral:rRNA from 1 species
AUGUUGCUUCUCAUGACGAUGUGGACGUCCUCGCUUCGCUGGUCGCAGCACGUCGAGUCCCGCCGCUACGGCCCGGCCGUGAAAGUCCUGGUCACCUGCUUCUUCUUCACGUUCGUCACCGUCCUGCUGCAGGUGCUGCUCGCCAUUGCGCUGUCGGAGAAACCAGCGCCGGCGGUGCUUCCGACCGCCGUGAACCAGUGGAACAUGGCCAUCACCGUGUGGCUGUUCGGGGCCCUCUACUACGUGAUCUACGCCGACAUGAACAGCAGGUAUGCGACCCAGCCGAGCUACCGGGACCUGAUCAUCGCCGGGGUCGCCAGUGUUGUGAGCUUCGCCAUGACCGUCUACAACAUGCGGCAGGUUGCAAGCCUAGGUAGGCACUGGAUUACUGCCGCUUCGCCCGGCAAUGGAUCGUUGUCUGGUGUCGUGGUGGCGUUGGCGGCAGCUAGACCAGCCAAGAUAGAUGCAGCAGUAUAG